rnacentral:rRNA from 1 species
GACGAACGCUGGCGGCGUGCUUAACACAUGCAAGUCGAACGGAAAGGCCCUGCUUUUGUGGGGUGCUCGAGUGGCGAACGGGUGAGUAACACGUGAGUAACCUGCCCUUGACUUUGGGAUAACUUCAGGAAACUGGGGCUAAUACCGGAUAGGAGCUCCUGCUGCAUGGUGGGGGUUGGAAAGUUUCGGCGGUUGGGGAUGGACUCGCGGCUUAUCAGCCUGUUGGUGGGGUAGUGGCUUACCAAGGCUUUGACGGGUAGCCGGCCUGAGAGGGUGACCGGCCACAUUGGGACUGAGAUACGGCCCAGACUCCUACGGGAGGCAGCAGUGGGGAAUAUUGCACAAUGGGCGGAAGCCUGAUGCAGCAACGCCGCGUGCGGGAUGACGGCCUGCGGGUUGUAAACCGCUUUCGCCUGUGACGAAGCGGGAGUGACGGUAAUGGGUAAAGAAGCACCGGCUAACUACGUG